rnacentral:misc_RNA from 1 species
AAGUCGUAACAAGGUUUCCGUAGGUGAACCUGCGGAAGGAUCAUUAUGGUACAACAGAGGUGUGUGGGCUGUCGCUGACCUUCAAAGGUUGUGCACGCCCAAGCACUCUCACACAAUCCAUCUCACCCCUUUUGUGCAUCACCGCGUAGGUCCCCCUUUGCGGGGAGGGCCUGCGUUUUCACAUAAAAACUUGAUACAGUGUAGAAUGUUUAUUUUGCGGUCACACGCAAUCAAUACAACUUUCAACAACGGAUCUCUUGGCUCUC